UAUAUCUAAUUUUAGAAGUAUGGUUCCAAUUGAACCAUAAGAUGCCACGUGGCGCACUUACAUGAAAAGUUCUAAUCUGCCACGUGGCGCACUUAUCAUAAUAUAUAUAUUUUUAACUUAUCAUAAUAUAUUUUUUACUUCACAUAUAUAUAUAUAUAUAUAUUAUCAUUAUAUAUAUUUUAUAUAUUAUCAUUAUCAUUAAGUAAUUAUAAGAGAGCAUAACUACACGUACCAAAAAAUAACUGCACAGCAAUUUUUUUUCCUUAACCGUACAACAGUUAUUUUUUUUCCUAAACUGCACAACAGUUAUUUUUUUUUCUUAACCGCACAACAGUUAUUUUUUUUCCUAAACCACACAACAGUUUUUUUUUUUUUCUUAACCACACAACAGUUAUUUUUUUUUUCCCUUUUUUUCUUUGAUUGUGAGGCAUAUUUAUCUUUCACAGUUAAUAUCUAAAACGUUACAAAUUUUAUCAUCCAUAUGUAUGUAUUACAAGUGAAUGCCAUUAUUUUAUUAAUGUUAUCAUCCAUAUGUAUGAUAGAUGGAGGCAGACUUAUUUUCCACCUUUAUGCACCAUCUUUCUACAAAAGGCAAGUUUAUUUCAAAAUUUGAAAAUAAUUACGUGUAAUGAUUUGGUCGGUUUGUAAUGUAUAUAUUAUCUUCUCUUUUUUUUCAGGAUACAUACCACUAGCUUUGGACUUCGUCAUAGUAUUGAAAUUUUCAGAGCGCAUAAAUAUUUGCCCCUAUCCCAAGAAAUACUCAAUAAUUACUUUUGGGAGGUAUGUUUGAUAUUUAUAUUUAAAUUUUUGAUUGAUUUGUUGAAAAUAAUUGAUAAACAUACAUGACUAAUUAUUCACAAUAACAAGAACUUUUUAGUUUAAAGGAAUCAUAAUAUGAAUCAUGCUUCACAAGUUCUAAAAAAUUACUUUCCAAAUUUAGUCACUUAAAAUUCUUCAAAAAAUAAGUUUACAAAAUUAGUCAUAAAGAAUUUGAAAUAAGAUU
rnacentral:lncRNA from 1 species